rnacentral:rRNA from 1 species
UACGGGGGGGGCAAGCGUUGUUCGGAAUUACUGGGCGUAAAGGGUUCGUAGGUGGCUUGCUAAGUCAGACGUGAAAUCCCUCAGCUUAACUGGGGAACUGCGUCUGAUACUGGCGAGCUUGAGUGCAGGAGAGGAACGCGGAAUUCCAGGUGUAGCGGUGAAAUGCGUAGAUAUCUGGAGGAACACCGGUGGCGAAGGCGGCGUUCUGGACUGCAACUGACGCUGAGGCGCGAAAGCUAGGGGAGCAAACAGG